rnacentral:lncRNA from 1 species
AUGGUACGCCUAGAUGGCCAGGUGAAGAUGGAGCACUGCCAAGCAAGCCCCAAGGAAAUGUGCAGCCUCCACAGGAUGUUUUAUUACUGGCUUCUGAGGAAGUGGUUAUCUUCCGUCCACAGACUUGGAACUGUGCAUCUCUGCCGAAUGUAUAUCUCAGUCUUGGCCACUCCCUGGAAUCUAACUCAUGGACCAAACUGCCAUCUUAACAUCUCAUUUAAGUUUCUUCUUGACCCUCUUGUAAUUUUGUACAGUCAUCACUACAUUGCUCACAAGAAUGACUCUUACCCUCAUCCAGGAGAUCACUGGGGAUCCUCUGCAUCAUUCACACGAGAAGAUGGUAGGUUGGAGCUUGGAACAAUGUUUGGAGGACUUUGCCUCCCCUUGGAAGCUAAAGCCCUGGCCGAUCUGAAGAAAGCCAAAGCCAUUCCCAGUUUUACUUUGCUAUUAGGAGAUAGAAAAAACCUUUAAGAUGGCCUUUGCAGCUCUAGCAAUCAGGUUUGUGCUGACCUCCACACCUCCAUCCCACCUUCUUCCCUCUCUGUUCAGCUUCCCCCUGUCAUACUCUCCCCUCAUGUUCUUUGUUUGGCCACACUGGCCUUGAUUUAGUUCCUUACACCAACCAGAAGCCUUUGUUUGUGUUAUUUCUUCUGCCCGGAAGGCUCUUCCCCUUCACUUCUCUCUUUGACCUAUUUAACCAACCUCUGUCUUACAAACUGAUGCUCAUGUAAGACCUUCUAGCGCUAGCUUUCUCAUACCCCCUACACUAAAUGUCCUGUUAAUUUCACAAAACACCCUGUGCCUCUGUGUCACAGGAGAAAAUCUCAGUCUGUACUUAUUCAUUUAUUUAUUUGACUGUUUUAAUGUCAUUCUCUUCUAACCAAGAGGAAAGAAAGCAUGUCUCUGCUCACCAUUGUAUCUCCUGCACUAUCACAGUGCCUGCCAGAGUUAACAAGUAUCUCUUGGAUUUAUGUGUGGUUGAAUGAAUGAGUUGGUAAAUGAAUAAUAAGAAAUCCACCCACAAAUUUGGUCAAGUUUGGUACCUAUGUUCUCAUUAUUAUCAAGUUGAAAAAUACUAGUUACUUGUUUUACUUAAGAGCUUCCUGUCUUUCUUCAGCCAGUUAGCUUAUUUUUAGAACUACUAUUCAUGAGUUGGAAAACCAAUUCUAUAGCUACCCUUAUCUUUUAUUCCUCUGAGCCUUGCUUGUUUUAAAAAUGAAGAGAGGAAAGUAAACACUCCAAUUUUGUGGUUCAGUUCACAUUUCAAUUUUUCUCUUCUUUCUUUUAUUCUGAACAUUGUAAAUGGUUUGAAAAACCAAGCUUUUGCAUUUAUAUUGCUCUUUUCAUCUACAGAUUUAUAAGAGCUUUAAAAACAUGUAUUAAUACAAUAGCAUUCCANNNNNNNNNNNNNNNNNNNNNNNNNNNNNNNNNNNNNNNNNNNNNNNNNNNNNNNNNNNNNNNNNNNNNNNNNNNNNNNNNNNNNNNNNNNNNNNNNNNUAUAAGAGCUUUAAAAACAUGUAUUAAUACAAUAGCAUUCCAAACUAAAAAAAUAAAGCCACAUUAAAUCUCCUUUAAGAUAUAGAUGCUGUUAAUAGGUUCACAAUAUGGCAGCAACAAUUUCAAAUACGAAUUAGGGGUAUUGAUUAAACCCUCUAAACUGACUAAUGGUGAGUUCCUCCUAGAGGCAUCCAUCAUUCUAAAUCCACCAGUAAUGACAUCUCUUCAAAGAGUAUAUGGUCUUAGAAAGCUCUAGCUUGAAAACUCAAGGAUUUAAAACAUUUGCAAAUGAAAAAAGGCAAGAUGACAUUUACUCUAUUUCUAACUUCUCUAGAAAUGUUACUGGAUUUUUAGCCUGACAUUUCCCCUAAUAUAUACAAAUAAAGCUAUAAAUUUUCCUUCAAGCACAAGUUUUUGUUGUACUCUGUGGAUUUUGAUAUACCAUAUUUCAGUUAUUUUUUCACUUCCAAACAUUUUCUAAUUUUCAUUGGAAUUUCUUUUUUUGACCCAUGGGUUCUUUACAAAUGUAUUACUUAGUUUCCAAACAUUUAACCAUCUUCUAGUUGAUUUUUAAUGUUGUUAUAGAUUUCAGUCUUGAUUCCACUGUAAUAAGAGAACAUUGUCUGUAUGACUUCAGCCUUUUGAAGUUUAAUACUAGCUGUAUGGUUUAUAUGUACAUUUAAAAAAUAUGUUCUAUGGGCAUUAAAAUGAAUGUUCUUAAAUGUUAUUGUACAUACGUGAAUUAGAUAAAGUUUAUUAGUUGUGCUAAUUCACAUAUUUUAUAUCCUUCCUGAUUUAUUCUAAUCUAUUUUAACAAUCACUGAGAAAUGCUUAAUAAAAUCUCUAACCACACUUGUGAAUUUGCCAAAUUUUGUUAAUUCUGCCAGUUUUUACUUAACAUAUUUUCUUAUGCUAUUAGUGCAUACAUGUUAAGAAUUAUAUCUUCUGGGAAAAUUGGCACUUUCAACAUCAUAAAAUGUCUCUAUUAGUUUUCUUUAGCCUCUUUUGUUUUUGUGAUUUUAACAUAGCUAUAUUAGGGUGUCUUUUUUUGUGGAGGAGUAGCUUUAUGUUUUUUUUUUUUUAAUUCCCAUCCUUUACUUUCAAUUUGUCUCCUUACAUUAAAUGUGUUUCUUCUAAGCAGCAUGUAGUUUUUUGUUAUCUGUUCUUACAGUCUUCGCCUUUUAAUUAGAAGAUGUGGUCUGCUUACAUUUAAUGUAUUUGUUGAUAUAUUUGAAUCUUCUCUUCAUCCCACCUAAUAUUUGUUGCUGGUUUCUCCUUUCUAGUUAUCUUUUGGGUGAAUGUGACAGAAACUUUCAUUUUCCCACUUCUUUGUCUCUGUCGGCUUGUUAACACAAUCUUUCAUCAUCCAUUUAGUGGUUACACUAGAGACUAUAAUAUACAUC